UCCCGCUUCGCCUCUUUCCUCUCCGCUUGUGUUUAGCGGGUAAAUGUGCCCUGGCUACCAUCGACCCUCAAAAUGACGAAAUUACAAUUUCUAAAUGUAUUUUUGACAGAAAAGUUGAUGUUAGCUGCCCAAGAUAUAUAUAAGCAAGUGGAAGAGACCAUAUUAGAAUACCAGGAGGAAAUAUUCCAGGGAAAGCGAGAGAAUGACAAACUGAGACGCAAGCUUCACGAUAAUGGGAUUCCAUGGCCAGACCAAGAACCCUUUUCUCCUGUAGAAUCUGAGGAGGAGGAGGGAGCCAUUGGGCAUAAGCAGGAACCAGACCUCGGACAGACUUUGGAGAAACAGGAGGGAAGGGCCAGAAGGGAGGAAAAGCUGUUUAGGGGACUGGUCCCGCUGUCUAGAUUCGUUCCUUCUGAUGGAAAUGAUGACUAUGAUCAGAACCCACCUCAACCCACCUCGCAUCAGUUCCAAAUACAAACUCACACUGGGAAGACUAUAGAGGGAGGCUUUCUAUCAAGCUCAACAACCUCCAAUCCAAUCAAAACAGAGACUGAUAGAUUGGGCGUCUGUCCAUUAGAUGAUACAUCAAGUGACCCAAAUACUUUCUCUUCAGGGAACCUCGACCUUUCGGCAGCACAGAGUGAGAACAGUGACUAUGAGAACACUGAUGACUUCUGGUGCUGUGCUGUGCUGUGCGGUGUGGAAGGAAAGCAAGGAGGAAGUGGAGGGUGUGGUUCCCAGUACCUGGGUGGUGGGCAGGAAGGUAAUUUCACCUCCAGCCAAUGGCAGGAAAGUCCUGAAAGAAAGACACAAGCCAGGAGCCAAUUGGACAGCAUAUGAGGUCAAACUAUUCUCAGAAUCUCUGGAGGAGUGUGAAGGGCACAGUAGGUCCAGUGAUGAGCUGACUGACAACGGAGACAACAUGUGAGCCUAACACGCAGAGGAAGAUGGGCGAGGGACGCAUUACUGAUACCUCAAGGAGGACCCCAUGGAGAUGAAACACACAGAAAUGUCGAAAUCUGGAACCCUGGAGGAAAGUUCUGCAGUUCUACAAGCAGAACCUCAUCUCGAUCCAUCUGAUGUCAGAGGGCAAGUUAGGUUACCCUAUAUCUACCAGUGUUAUUUCCAAUUGGUUUGCCACACACAUGGUCUAUGUCAUUUUGAGACGCUGUACACUAAAUGACCAAAAGUAUGUGGAACAUCUCAUUCCAAAAUCAUGGGCAUUAAUAUAGAAUGGUAACGCUCAUGCAAGCGGUUGCUCCCGACACCACUUGGGUAUACUGCAGCAUCCACCGAGAGGCUUUUGCUGCCAAGGGAAUGCCUGGCAACUUGAAAGACGUUUUGUACACUACAGUGAAAAUGGUUAACUUUGUUAAAGCAAGGCCCCUGAACUCCCGUGUAUUUUCUGCACUAUGCAAUGAUAUGGGCAGCGACCAUGUAACACUCGUUAUCUAGGGGCAAAGUAUUGACACUUUCUUUUUUUUAAAUUGAGAGACCAGCUUAAAGUUUUGACUGACCAUAAUCUUCACUUGUCUGACCGCUGGCAUGAUGACGAGUUUCUCACACGACUGGCCUAUCUGGGUGAUGUUUUUUCCCGCCUGAAUGAUCUGAAUCUAGGAUUACAGGGACUCUCCGCAACUAUAUUCAAUGUGCAGGACAAAAUUGAGGCUAUGAUUAAGAAGUUGGAGAGCUUCUCUGUCUGCAUUAACAAGGACAACACACAGGUUUUUCCAUCAUUGUAUGAUUUUAUUUGUGUGUAAAUGAACUCCAGCUUAUGGACAAUGUCAAAUGUGAUAUAGCGAAGCACCUGAGUGAGUUGGGUGCGCAAUUACGCAGGUACUAUACCAAUGCGGAUGACAAACAACUGGAUUCGUUAUCCCUUUCAUGCCCUGCCUCCAGUCCACUUGAUAUCUGAACAAGAGAGCCUCAUCGAAAUUGCAGCAAGCGGUUCUGUGAAAAUGUAAUUUAAUCAGAAGCCACUGCCAGAUUUCUGGAUAGGGCUGCACUCAGUUUCUUGCCUUGGCAAAUCGCAUUGUUAAGACACUGAUGCACUUUGCAACCACAUACCUAUGUGAGAGUGGAUUCUCAGCUCUCACUAGCAUGAAAACUAAAUACAGACACGGACUGUAUGUGCAAAAUGAUUUAAGACUGAGCCUCUCACCAACACAACCCAACAUUGCAGAGUUAUGUGCAUCCUUUCAAGCACAUGCUUCUCAUUACCCGUGGUGAGUUAUUCACAAUUUUCGAUGAUCAAAUAAGGUUUUAUAUGUAAGAUGG